rnacentral:rRNA from 1 species
GACGAACGCUGGCGGCGUGCUUAACACAUGCAAGUCGAACGGAAAGGCCCUGCUUUUGUGGGGUGCUCGAGUGGCGAACGGGUGAGUAACACGUGAGUAACCUGCCCUUGACUUUGGUAUAACUUCAGGAAACUGGGGCUAAUACCGGAUAGGAGCUCCUGCUGCAUGGUGGGGUUUGGAAAGUUUCGGCGGUUGGGGAUGGACUCGCGGCUUAUCAGCUUGUUGGUGGGGUAGUGGCUUACCAAGGCUUUGACGGGUAGCCGGCCUGAGAGGGUGACCGGCCACAUUGGGACUGAGAUACGGCCCAGACUCCUACGGGAGGCAGCAGUGGGGAAUAUUGCACAAUGGGCGGAAGCCUGAUGCAGCAACGCCGCGUGCGGGAUGACGGCCUUCGGGUUGUAAACCGCUUUCGCCUGUGACGAAGCGUGAGUGACGGUAAUGGGUAAAGAAGCACCGGCUAACUACGUG